GACGAACGCUGGCGGCGUGCUUAACACAUGCAAGUCGAACGGAAAGGCCCUGCUUUUGUGGGGUGCUCGAGUGGCGAACGGGUGAGUAACACGUGAGUAACCUGCCCUUGACUUUGGGAUAACUUCAGGAAACUGGGGCUAAUACCGGAUAGGAGCUCCUGCUGCAUGGUGGGGGUUGGACAGUUUCGGCGGUUGGGGAUGGACUCGCGGCUUAUCAGCUUGUUGGUGGGGUAGUGGCUUACCAAGGCUUUGACGGGUAGCCGGCCUGAGAGGGUGACCGUCCACAUUGGGACUGAGAUACGGCCCAGACUCCUACGGGAGGCAGCAGUGAGGAAUAUUGCACAAUGGGCGGAAGCCUGAUGCAGCAACGCCGCGUGCGGGAUGACGGCCGUCGGGUUGUAAACCGCUUUCGCCUGUGACGAAGCGUGAGGGACGGUAAUGGGUAAAGAAGCACCGGCUAACUACGUG
rnacentral:rRNA from 1 species